rnacentral:lncRNA from 1 species
CAGAAAGGUACCCAGGAGAGGAUAGAUGCUUUUCUCUGCGUUUGAGAAAUACUUGAAUAGUGAGGAAUGGAAUUUAGGCUCGCAUGGAUGCCUGUGGGAGCUGAGUGCCUGCUGCUCUGUAGACCUGGUGUGCUGAUGGUGAAGACAGGUGGUUUCAUUUAUUCCUUCAUUUAUUUUGCUGGAACGAUGAAAUGAGGAUCAUCACGAAAACAGACAUGGCUGGAGAAUAACAACUGAUGAACAACCCUGAAGACACCAGAGAUGAACUGAAGGUGCUGUGAAGACAAGUGGUAGAACUGAGCUUUAAACCCUUUUGUAUAGUUCUUGUCAUCAGGUUUGUUUUGCCUUAUAGGCCUUCUCACUGUGUAUCAUCUGUCUUUUGUUGGAGCAAAAAUACCCAUAGAAACAAAUAAGGAAGCAGACUUGCAUGAGCAGCAUGCAGGCA